rnacentral:tRNA from 1 species
UUAAUUGAAACCAAAGUUUAGAGGUUGUUCAUUGUUAAUGAACAUAAUGGUUAACCAGAUAACCCAAUUAAA